rnacentral:rRNA from 1 species
CGUAGGAGGCGAGCGUUGUCCGGAAUCAUUGGGCGUAAAGAGCGCGCAGGCGGCCCGGCAAGUCGGGUGUGAAAUCUCGGGGCUCAACCCCGGAACUGCAUCCGAUACUGCCGGGCUAGAGGUAGGUAGGGGAGAUCGGAAUUCCUGGUGUAGCGGUGAAAUGCGCAGAUAUCAGGAGGAACACCGGUGGCGAAGGCGGAUCUCUGGGCCUUACCUGACGCUCAGGCGCGAAAGCUAGGGGAGCGAACAGGAUUAGAUACCCUGGUAGUCCUAGCCGUAAACGUUGGGUGCUAGGUGUGGGCGGAUAUCGACCCCGUCCGUGCCGAAGCUAACGCAUUAAGCACCCCGCCUGGGGAGUACGGCCGCAAGGCUA